UACGUAGGGGGCGAGCGUUGUCCGGAAUCAUUGGGCGUAAAGAGCGUGUAGGCGGUCUGAUAAGUCUGCUGUGAAAUCUCGAGGCUCAACUCCGAGCUGGCGGUGGAAACUGUCUGGCUAGAGUCCGGAAGAGGAGAAUGGAAUUCCUGGUGUAGCGGUGAAAUGCGCAGAUAUCAGGAAGAACACCCGUGGCGAAGGCGGUUCUCUGGGACGGUACUGACGCUGAGACGCGAAAGCGUGGGGAGCGAACAGG
rnacentral:rRNA from 1 species